rnacentral:rRNA from 1 species
UACGGAAGGUCCGGGCGUUAUCCGGAUUUAUUGGGUUUAAAGGGAGCGCAGGCGGACCUUUAAGUCAGCUGUGAAAUGCGGCGGCUCAACCGUCGAACUGCAGUUGAUACUGGAGGUCUUGAGUGCACACAGGGAUGCUGGAAUUCAUGGUGUAGCGGUGAAAUGCUCAGAUAUCAUGAAGAACUCCGAUCGCGAAGGCAGGCAUCCGGGGUGCAACUGACGCUGAGGCUCGAAAGUGCGGGUAUCAAACAGG